GAGAGGGAGCAGAUAAACUGCUUAAUAGCCAGUAAGAGCCGCACGUUCUCCCAAAAACCAGGGUUCACCACGCUAGCCACCCAUAGGGCAACCCCCAUAUCGGAUACCUGACGCCGUCAGAGCUGGUAUGAGGGAAGAGAUACAGGAAAUGAGACUAGGAGUUAUUGAGCCCUCCGAUAGUCCCUGGGCAUCCCCAGUAGUCCUGGUGCCGAAGAAGGAUGGGACUACCCGGUUCUGCGUGGACUAUCGGCGGCUAAAUGACAAAACCGUGAGUUGAUGAGUUAUUGGAUCGCAUCGCAAGGGGAUGAUAUCUGACCACCAUCGACCUCUGUAAGGGGUACUUGCAGAUUCCCCUGGCCGAGGAGGAUAUUCCCAAGUCAGCCUUUGUUACCCCGUUUGGCUUGUACCAAUUUAGGGUCAUGCCAUUCGGGAUGAAAAACGCCCCAGCCACGUUCCAACGCUUGGUGGAUAGACUCCUUGAUGGCUUUUGCUUGUGCAUACCUGGAUGACAUUGCGAUCUUAGCGAGUCCUGGGAGGAACACUUGAGGCAUGUGGGGGCAAUGCUGGAUCAGAUUCGGGCGGCUGGCCUGACUCUGAAACCAGACAAAUGUCAUAUAGGCAUGGCGGAAGUCCAGUAUUUGGGACACCGGGUCGGGUGUGGACAGCAGCAUCCAGAGCCUGCCAAGAUAGAAGCUGUCGCUAACUGGCCCACACCCCGGACCAAGACCCAAGUCCUGGCUUUCCUGAGGACAGCGGGUUAUUAUAGAUGCUUUGUAUCAGACUACAGAGCCCUAGCUAAGCCCCUGACUGACCUUACAUAAAGAACCUUCCCAGACAGGUCUCCUGCCUGUGAAACUGCUUUUCAUGCCUUGAAAGAUGCCCUUGUACAAACCCUUGUGUUGGCUGCCCCAGUCCCUAACAAACGUUUUAUCAUCCACACAGACGCUUCCAUGUUCGGACUGGGGGCAGUUCUAAUCCAAGUGGGAGAGGACAGAGGAGGGGACCCGGUCGCUUACAUCAGCUGCAAACUAUUGCCCCAAGAAGUGAGCUAUGCAGCAGUUGAAAAGGAGUGUUUGGCUUUGGUGUGGGCACUGAAGAAGCUCACCCCCUACUUGUAUGGGCGAGAAUUCACAUUAGUAAUGGACCAUAACCCCUUGGUUUGGUUAAACAGGGUGACUGGAGACAAUGGACGGUUACUAGGAUGGAGCCUUGCACUACAGCCCUAUAAUUUUAACAUCGAGUACCGCCCCGGGAAACAAAACGGCAACGCCGAUGGUCUGUCCUGCCAGACUGAACUCAGUACAUAAUCUGUUGUCCAGGCAUCCACCAGUUGACCUAAAAAGGAUCAAACCGGGUCUGCUGGAGUUUUCCACAAAGAGGGAGCCAUGUAACAGAUUCUCUGUCUUGGAUCUGUAAUUUGUGAACAGCCGUUCAUUUGAACAAUUCGUUUAAUUGCCUGAGUUUUAUGUUAUAGUAAGGGCCGUUCGAAUCACGAAUUUUCCACUAAAUACCCAACCACCCAGAACAGAAGUGUGGCACUCAUUACCUCCCAGACUCGUGUAACACCUCAAAAACCGCGAACACUUCAUCAUUCUAAUUGCUAUACAGGGUGGUCGGCGUUCGUCUGAACGAACACACGGCAGUGGCCAAUUUGUUUAGUCGAACGCACUGUAGCAGUACUUACCUUACCCGGGGCCGGCCGAGGUCCUCUCUUCCCGCCGCGAGCGGCUCUCGAAUGAAGGCGGGCAUGGACCGCGAGAUGCGGUCACGUGUCCCGCCUAGCUCUAAGAGCGUGCCACACGUCUCCGGCACGCUCUUAAAGGGGCAGUGGGAGCCAAAAAAUGGAAUGUACUCCCAUUGGCCCCUGUCAUCCCACAUUCCCCAGACACUCACAUUUUGGGGGCGUGAAUAUGACAGGGGCCAAUCAAAGUAUUUAUACUUAUCUCUCCCUUAACUCCCUGCCCUAUCGUGGUUUCUGUUUCAGUUCCCUUUAGCGCUUGUUGUGUUCAGUUGUGAUUUUCGUGCUUGACCUUGGCUUUGUCUCUGACACCGUUUAUCUCUCUAUCCCUGUUUUGUCUUGUUUGCUGGCUUACUGACUACUGUGUACCAGACCUUGGCUAGUUUUUGUUCUCGCAGUCUCUUUGUUCCCUUGACCUCGGCUUGUUCUUGACUCUGUCUAUUCUCUGCUAUAUGGCGAGUCCGGCCAUUCUAAGGUCCGGUAAGUCGUAUCUGCUCUAUCUGUCGAUUGGUGGACUAAAUCUUGCGUGUAGGGGUAAACUACCGUGACACGCACUCAGCGGUGUUUGGUCAUCAAACGCGUGGAACUAUUUUCGGCUACCUAUUCCACGAACACCACUGAAACUUCUACCUCCCGUGCGUUUGGCUAAACUCAUGCGAAAAGAGAAUUAUUUCUAAUGAAUAAACUCUUGAACAUCCGCAUCUAAAGAUAGUAAGCACGAACCGAUCCGUUCGGUGCAAUUUGAACUUUAUUCGAAAGGAAAGAUAGACCGGCCGCACAGCCUGAAUCUGUGGAACUAUUUUGGGCAUGCAAACAGGCGUGCGGUCGGUCAAAGAGACUUUAUCAUAUCUCCCGAAUCCCUGAACGGAUUCAUGUGAUUUUUCAGAUAUGUCUGUCCUCUAGUUACGCUUGUUAUAAAAAUGUAAGUUUUAUUAAUAUCAGAUGUAUAAUCGUGGAGUUAUAAAAAUGUAUAAAAAGUAUGAUUUUUAGCUUGGAGAUAAUUGAGUUGAUACAGUAAUUAACUCAAUUAUCUCCAAAGUAGAGAGGAGGAAUUCACUGUACUAAGUGGGAGUGAUUAUCUAAUUGCCACUACUCUAUGGUUGCAAAGUUUGCAGUUUCAGUACCCCAUAAGGUCCACGUGGGUGGUAAAAAAGAGGAGUGAGAUAGCGCUAAGUAACUAUAGGCAGCGACCUUAAAAGGGAAUCCCUCAAACCCUUUAAAACAGAAUACAAUAAAAGGCUGCGCACAAAAGAUAAAUAAAGUCCAAUUAGAGUAAAAUAAAAUAAAAUAAGUCCAAAU